AUCCUCCGACACUUCCUGCAAGCCAUGCUCACGAUCCUUCAAAGGAUGAGUCUCCUCCCGCUCUCCAGACUCCAGUGCCCAGUGUCCUGCAUCUUCAUCCUCACACCCUCUGUGGUAUCAUCCUCACGCCCUCCAUGGUAUCAUCCUCACGCCCUCCAUGGUAUCAUCCUCACCACGUUUACAAAGUGAGCUCUGAUCCUCCGUGUGACAAGCAAAGCAAGGUCCCUCUGGAUUGUUGCAGAGUCCCCUCUGGCCAGUCUAAAUAUGUCAGCUGAUGUGGGUCAAUCGGUUCCUCUUCUCCCUCUGCAAAGGUGUGCCCACCCAGACAUCAGAAUCUGAGCUUAUUUGGAAUAAGGAUCUUUGCAGACAUAAUUAAGGUAAG
rnacentral:lncRNA from 10 species